ensembl:lncRNA NRXN2-AS1 NRXN2 antisense RNA 1
CAGUGGCGACGGGCAGCAGCGCUUCGUGAUCCUGAUUUCUUCCACCCCAGGCAAGAAGUGCCCACCAUGGGUACCACCACCACCCCUCCCCCGAGGACUAAAUGAGCAGCAGGGAGUGACAAACAGUCAGGUGCACCUAAGUUCCAGCCAAGCUCUACCAUCGACACUCUAUGACUUGGGGAGAGCUGAAGCCCGUGAGAAGAACCUAACAGGCUCAUGGUCUGGCCCUCAUGGACACCCCGGGGACCACCAGGUGAAGUGGAGUCAAGGCCUGCUCUCAACCCUGGGCAUGGGUGGAGACAUGAGUCAGCAUGAGUGGCCUGAGGGGGAGGGUCAGCAGCCCUGUCCGAGGCAAUGGGAAAAGCACUGAAUUUUAAGGCAAAUGGCCCAGGUUGAGUCCUGGCUCCUCCCUCUGCCUUCACUAGUUUUGUAAUGUUGAACAAGUCAAUACAUGAAUUUCAUAAUCUAU